rnacentral:rRNA from 1 species
AUUGAACGCUGGCGGCAGGCCUAACACAUGCAAGUCGAGCGGAUGAAGGGAGCUUGCUCCUGGAUUCAGCGGCGGACGGGUGAGUAAUGCCUAGGAAUCUGCCUGGUAGUGGGGGAUAACGUCCGGAAACGGGCGCUUAUACCGCAUACGUCCUGAGUGAGAAAGUGGGGGAUCUUCGGACCUCACGCUAUCAGAUGAGCCUAGGUCGGAUUAGCUAGUUGGUGGGGUAAAGGCCUACCAAGGCGACGAUCCGUAACUGGUCUGAGAGGAUGAUCAGUCACACUGGAACUGAGACACGGUCCAGACUCCUACGGGAGGCAGCAGUGGGGAAUAUUGGACAAAGGGCGAAAGCCUGAUCCAGCCAUGCCGCGUGUGUGAAGAAGGUCUUCGGAUUGUAAAGCACUUUAAGUUGGGAGGAAGGGCAGUAAGUUAAUACCUUGCUGUUUUGACGUUACCAACAGAAUAAGCACCGGCUAACUUCGUG